GGACGAACGCUGGCGGCACGCUUAACACAUGCAAGUCGAACGGAGAUAUUUGGUUUACUGAGAUAUCUUAGUGGCGGACGGGUGAGUAACACGUGAGCAACCUGCCUUUGAGAGAGGGAUAGCUUCUGGAAACGGAUGGUAAUACCUCAUGACAUACUUUUAUCGCAUGGUAGAAGUAUCAAAGAUUUAUCACUCAGAGAUGGGCUCGCGUCUGAUUAGCUAGUUGGUGAGGUAACGGCUCACCAAGGCGACGAUCAGUAGCCGGACUGAGAGGUUGAACGGCCACAUUGGGACUGAGACACGGCCCAGACUCCUACGGGAGGCAGCAGUGGGGAAUAUUGCACAAUGGGGGAAACCCUGAAUGCAGCGAUGCCGCGUGGAGGAAGAAGGUUUUCGGAUUGUAAACUCCUGUCUUAAAGGACGAUAAUGACGGUACUUUAGGAGGAAGCUCCGGCUAACUACGUGCCAGCAGCUGC
rnacentral:rRNA from 1 species